AAAUCAACAUGAGUUUCUCAAAAGCAAGUCAUGCCAGACUAAUCUUAUCUCUUUUUUUUGAUAGAGUGACCAACUUGGUAGAUGAAGGGAAUGCUGUGGACAUAGCAUUUCUUGAUUUUAGAAAGGCCUUUGAAAAGGUGCCCCAUGAUAUUCUUGCAAACAAGCUAGAUAAAUGUGGGCAAGACAAUGA